rnacentral:rRNA from 1 species
CGGACGGGUGAGUAAUGUCUGGGAAACUGCCCGAUGGAGGGGGAUAACUACUGGAAACGGUAGCUAAUACCGCAUAACGUCGCAGGACCAAAGAGGGGGACCUUAGGGCCUCUUGCCAUCGGAUGUGCCCAGAUGGGAUUAGCUAGUAGGUGGGGUAAUGGCUCACCUAGGCGACGAUCCCUAGCUGGUCUGAGAGGAUGACCAGCCACACUGGAACUGAGACACGGUCCAG